GGAAUAUCGAAAAAGAUAUCAAUACAUGAUCGCCGCGUCGGAUCUCACUCGUUUGUUCAAAAAAUCCGCUGACCAAAUAAUCGCGUGGAGAUAUAUCACGUGACUAUGAGGAUCGCUUACCGCGGCCAAAACUUGGAGAACUUUACUCUUGUUCGAAAUUGAAAACCCCACGACGUACAAACGACCACAAGAAAUAGCCACAAAAUCUACUGCUUUCUCAGAAGCUUGAAAGAAAGUCUUAUGGCCCUUUCUUUGCGUGAUGUAACAUGCAGUUUAUUAAGAAAAGGCAUGAAUUUGUAGAUAUAAAAGUUCCUCAAAAACGAGAAUGCAACAACAACAACUAAACUGGACAGAGAGACUUGAAAAUAACCUCGAAAAAAGUUAAGUAUCGACAAAAUAAUACUUACAACUAAGUAAUCAACUAAUAUGAUAACUCCUUGGAAUCCAUCGUUAUAGGCUAGACAUGCACACAUCACAUCUGAAGCAAUUUUCUUGGGAGGUGGAAUUUCGCAUUUUUUCUGCUUCAACUGAAUAAAGCAAACUAACUUACCGAAGACAUGGAGCCAUUGCUUUUGCUUGAUUUGUACUUUCUUGACCUCCCUGUAGAGACAGCAACAACAACUAAUGUUUAACCAAGGGCCAGGGACUGCCAUCCCUAAUCUAAAUGGAAGGGUACUAAUGUGCUAAUGCUGGUUUUUCAUUAGCAAAGGAAACAAAGUAGGAGAAGGAACGGGCAAUGUUCAAUCUUUUACACAUGUUCUCUUCCUUCAUCUGUGCAUUUUUCUUUUCGUGCAUCUCCUAUUCACGCGUUGAUUCUCUAUUCCCUGUACACUUAUUAAGCCUUCACCUCCUUCACUGUCUCUGCUUACUUUUCUAGCAAAAAUAGACCUUACAGGGUUUAAAAACAAGGAUAACAACACCAGCUAGCAUAGCUGUCAACCUUGCUUUAGGAAAAAUCUUGAGAAAUACAGUGAAUGUAUCAGAAGUACCAAGAUAGCUAAUGUGGGAGAAUACAGUAAAUGUAUGGAUAUUUUCAAGAAAAUUAGGCUUGAGAAAAGGUUCAAAAUCUUGAGACUACUGUCCAAUGCGGUAGAGAUGGCAGCUAUGAGCUAGGACAAUCAGUCUGAAAAUAUCAUUUUGUUAUCUGCCAUCAUCUACCAUGUUAUUUUUAUCAGUCAUACUAUCAUGUAUCAUCCCAUUCUGUGGGCCAACAUGAUUCCUAGAUAGCUGGCUAACAUUGUUGCAGCAAUAGGCAUGUUUCUCAUAAAAAAUGUAAAGAUUCUGUGCUUAGCAGGAGAGGACUUAGAAAAAGAAUGCUAUCUGGGAACUGUUCACAGAUACUAGAAAUUAUUAGCAGUGUGACACACUACCACUGCCACUAAUACAAUGGUUUUUUUUUAGAAAAUUAGCCAAUUAGCAUACAAGAUUUGCAAAUUUAAUUAACCAAAACUUUAUAAAUAGGAGGAAAAUACUCUGUUGUGCACUCGAGUUCAUGACAAUCAGAUAGUAUAUUUCUCACAUCCUCAUCCUCCAUCCAUGGUCAAUGAUAAACUUGAGAAGUACUUUUGAUGUCUGCCAGUAGAACAUGGUGUUGUUAUGAACUGGGUGCUUGACAUCCAUAACAAAGGUGCAAAAGCUUAUCCCAUAUACCAUAUUUUAAACUUUCACUUAAAGAAUAAAAUCACUAAACCAAAUAAAAGUAAUAGUCCCUCAAAAAAUACUAUUUAUAUAUUUUAAUCUAAUUACACUACAAUAGAUACAGUGUCAUAUACAGUCUCAGAGAUUCUAGAAAGAAAUAAUUUGCUGCCUUUUCUUAAUUCAAAAACAUAGAAGUAUGUCAUACUACCUUUUUGUGUUUCAAGGAAGCUUUGUAUGCUGUUUUUUAAGGUAGAUGAUAAUUUGGAAAACAAAGCCCUUUUCUUCCCUGUGGUAUGAAUAAUGAAGUGCCCACAAAACUGAAGGAAUUUGAUAAACAAUCCUUGUUACUGUUUAUUUACCUUUAAAGGCAUAAAUAAACACAAUACAUAAUUUCUAUGUCAUUGUCAUAAUGGAACACUACCAUGGUACCCUGCAUUGUUAAAGUAAUAAUUGGUUUAAUCCAUGUUAUUCAAUAAAUCAAAAGUUAAUAUGGUACAAUGCAGUUUGAAUUACCUAUAGGUUUUACACUUCCAUCACAAAAAAAUGUUAUGGUAGGUAAUAAUAAUGUAAAAGGAGAAGUCUUGAGUACUUAACAGAUUCACAUUUGUAGUUAUUUGUUACUACUGAUAACAAACUAUACCCUCCAGCAAUUUAAACCACUUUUAAAAUAGACUCUAAUGAGUUUUCUAAUUAUGUGAUGGAAUAAUUGCAAUAAAUAACAGAUAACUUGCCUCAAGCAGUACAAAUAAACCCACCCACAGUUUACAAGGAUAGAUAAAGAAAUAUUAUUUAACCUUGGACAAAAUAUUUCAUAUUAUUGAGUUUUUGUGUGACUCCAGCCUAAACAACCCUAGCAGGGGGUCCAUAAGGUCUGGGAACCCUGAUGAAUAUAACAUAGGUAUAAGAAGCUGUUCUAGAAAAAAAGGAAAGCAAUACCUCUAUACUAUUCAACUGUAAAACAAGUUAUUGGGUGUGUUGAUUUGUUAUUGUCAUAAUUUGUAUGUGGUGAAUGUUAAGGUAUUCCAGCCAGACUGCCACUCUACAUCUCUAUAUAAUUAUAUUUCCAUUGAAUAGUUCAACCAAGUAACUGAGGUGAUUUCAAACAAAUAUUGUCACUUAAACUUUGGCUUGAAAAUAAGUCAUUCCAAUUUCAAAUAUAAACAAACAACUUGGAAAUAUGGGCGAUUUAUGUUACUUAAUACAUGAAUAAUGUUGGAUACCAUAUCCAAAAUCAGUUUCAUAUAAUUACUAUUUUGAAUGGAAAUUUGUCUGACACCAAGUAUUUAUUAGUAUGGUUUGUUUGGUAGCAUUUUUUUUCAGGUGAAAUAGUUUGCAUAUCCUGGGGGUAAACCCUCUGACUGCAAGAUACAUUUUAUUUCUUAGGUACAAAGUGCAUUUUACAUGUAGAAAAUAUGUUAAAUAAGGGAAGUAACAUUCCAAUGAGUCAAAGUGUUGAUUGUCUGUUCAUAAAUCAUUAGUCCAAGCUACUUAAUCUUGAGAUAAGUGAUCCUUCAUGACAGCUUUCUCAAUGUUUAGAGUGUUUAGUCAGUCUUUGGGGGGUAUUCCCAUGAGAGUGAACAAGUUAUUGUUGAUCUCUUUCGGGUAUAUACUUGUAAUUGUUUAGAUUUAAAAUACAGUUGACCAAUGGGUAUUCUCCACAGUGUAUGCCAAAAUGUCUAAUUUAUUCUAACAGUUUUAAGAUUCUUAACUUUUUCUGUUUACCCUGUAGUCAAAAUAGCAAUAAAUGCUUAACCACACACAGUAGUUCACCUACUGUGUUUUAUAGCCACACGUUAACAAUUUACGAGUUGCUUGAAUUAUGACUUACAUUCAUUUCCAGAUAGUGAUACUUCGUUUGAGCCCUGAAAUAAAGUUGAAUGUAAAUUGCAAGAUUUAGUGAACAUUCUUGUAGAACUAGAAACAGAGUAUGCUGUAAAUUUUAGAAAAAAAAACCAGAAAAUAAUUGAAGUCUUCACAAAAUGUGAAUAAUGCAUUGAUAAAAUCUUUUCCCUCAACCAUUAUCAAGUGAUUUGUCUGCAUUACUACAACUAUCAGAUUCACUCAUUCCUAUGUUUGUAUCUCCUUUUGAAACAUGUAAUGCAGUGAUCCUUUGAUACACCAGUCUCUGGUUAUUAUGUGAGAGCCAUGUUUGGUAAAUAAUAUUAACUAUCUUAUGCCAUCUUCUUUUUAAAAAAUUAUAUUAGGAAAAUCCUCAUUGCAGGGCUAGAAAUCAAGAAAAGAUAUUGGUAACAAUUUCACUCAAAUAGCCUUUCAAUCUCUAGACAUAAAAUAAAGAGGGAAAGCGGUGUAUGUUAUUAAAAAAAUACAAGUAACAAAAAAUGUCUAGUCAUAAAAUGGAGAAUCUUAGUCAUAGUAAUGACUCUGCCUUGUGAUGCUGGGGGCUUCUUCUGAUUAGCACUCUAGUUAUUUCUAAUGAUAUAUUUCAGUGUCUCCUUCAGGACUUCUUAACUAGAUAUUGCAGAUUGUAUUUACCUGGUUUGUACCCAGGCCAGGGUCCCUGUACCCUGGGGAAUAUGUUGUUGUGUAUGGAUCUUUAGACUUGCCUGGAAACAAACAAAUAACAUCAUUUUCAGUCAAUUAUAAGCAGUAUGACUUGAUAUAUAGUACUGGUUUGAAGGGCAAUUGUUUUUUUUUUGAUAACCACAAUUAUUCUACUAAAAUCUUCGCAGUAAUAAACCACUAUAACUUGAAGAUAGUGAGCCUUUAUAAUGAAUGUUUCAUUAGACCUUUCUAUAGUUUUUUUGUUUAAAAUCCCACUAUUAAGUUUUUCUUUUUCUUUGAAUUAGAGUGCACACAGACACACGCAUUGUUUAUGAAAAAAAACCCUAAAAUGUCAGAAACUGCAAAAAGUAUGUAAUGCAAUUGUCAUAAAAUAAGUAAUUUUACUAUCAAAGUUUCAAGAUUUUAGUUCUACAAUUGUAUUAUUUGUUUAUGUGAUUCUUUCUUGAACUCUGAAUUACAUUGUCACGAUUGAAAAAUAACAUAAUAUAAACAUGAUAAAAAAUCAGACCUGAGCUGAGAAUUGAGUGGAAUAGUAAAAAAAAGAUGUUUGUUUAGCUGUUAGAAUAUGGUGCAAUUCAUAACUGAGAGAAUCAAUAUAAUAGAGCUUACAGUUUUAAAAUAAGCAAAGGAGACUUAUGGUAAAGAUAGUCAAACUAUCACUGAAUGUAAAAAAGGCAGGAUACAUGUUUUUCUUCAUUAGUGGGCCAUUUUGUCCACAUCAGAGUGAAGAGACAUUAUGUAGUUUGUAUUUCAUACUAUCGUUUGUAACAAGACCACAAAAAGCAUCAGUCAUACAUCUUCCUGAUAUCAAACAGAACAUUUUAUAGCUUUUCAUUUUUUUUUCAGAGCCAUUGCUACAUGUUUUAGAAAACAACAACAGAGACAUUUAUGCUGAUUCUAAUAUUUUUUUCACUUUUUUCAUCCUACAUUUUGUCUCAACUGAAUUGUCUUUAAUUUCUUGUCAUGUGCAAAACCACAGUGUUAUAGAAUGAUUUUUUUACAUUAGGAAAAAAUUAUUUUUCAUUUUCUAAAACAAUCUAGCUCUAUUUUUUUAAACAUGAAAGAAUAAUUCUAAAACCAUUUUAGAAAUUUGAAAAUAUGAUAUCUUGAUUUGUUCACUUGUUUGAUCAAAGAAGUUUUAAAAAUGAACUGAAAACUUUAAUAUCAUCUCAAACUCAAACCAAAAGUAAACAUGUCUUUCAAUACAAAUAGUUUCUUUGAUGUGAGUUUAGAUUUGCAUGAAUAGAAAUGAGUUUUCUAUGUUUACCACAUUGCGUCUUGAAUCAUCUAUUGUCUAUUUUAAAACUCUACAACCUAACAUUUCUCAAUACUUUAUACAAGAUAUUCUUUAUUCACCUGACUUCUUGUGUUUUGCAGUUAAACACAACUCAGAUAUAUGUUCCAUGAAUUUCUCUAAUAUUACAAAACAUGCAUUUGAGCAUCCACUGGGAGAAAUCAUUAUGCUAAUUUUUGAAAGACCACAAAGUACUUUUUCACCGUGGCUGCAUCAAAGGUUUUCAUAUUGAUAGCCAAGUAAAGAAAAUAAUUUGAAAUAUGAACAGCCCAUUAGACCAUAUCACGGGUUAUGUCUAAGGCCUACGAAGAUCUCUAAUUAAACUUUUUUUCAUGACAGACAUAUAAAGAAGGAAAUUUGUUUUUUAAUGGAUUUUCCAUUGAGUAGCUAAGAACUGCAGAGAGAUCGCCUUCAAACCUCAAAGACUUUCCUAGUUAACCAAGCAUUUCUUUUUGUGGUCUUAGUUCAAAAUCAAAAAUUUCAGUUGUAUAUUGUCUAAGGGGAUUUCUAAAUUAAAAAUUUAGUCCACUUGAAAAUUUUGAAGCUUCUGCCACGAAAAUCAAACACAAAAGCGUAUGAAAGUUACUUGCUUUGGUAAAUGCAUUUGAGAAAAACAGAAAUUACAUAAAUAGGAAAUAAUAACUAUUUUCUUUUAAAUGUAACUUGAAUCAUCAACCACAAAGGCUAAGAGGAGUGACGAGAAAUUUCCUUUUUUUUUUUUAAAAAAAGUGAUGACUCAGACUCUAAACAUUUACCGUUGACUAAAUUAUGGCUUCCUGACACUUAAAAAUCGGUCUAAAAUGCGCUUGGUUCUUUUUCAGAUAAGUUCCACUUUUAAAAAUUUGUCAGAUUUAUUUUCCCUUUGUGAUGAAGUUCGGAGAGCAAAGCUGUGUUUGAUGUAAGCUAUCAAAUGAUAAUGCCAUUUGUGCACACGUUACGAAGGCUUGUUUAACUUGGAGAACAUCAAGGAAAGUUGUUUAAACAUGGCCGCAUACAUAUCCAUCAAGCUUUAGCCAACUGUACCAGCACAACUCCUACACAAAGCUGAAAUAAUCUGCUCAUGACACAAUUACCACUCUAGUCUAACAUUUUCUACGAGAUAAUACCCACACUUAGUAAAGGCGAAACCACCUGAGCCAGCGACUAACGCAGCCUGCAGAACAAGCCUGGUGUUCAAAUGCCCGGGAUCAAUUAACGUUACAUUUAAAGAUCAUAUUCGAACCAGCUUUAGCUUAUACACUUCCUAAAUGACCUAAUAUUUAGAUUUUCUAUACUCGUGAAGGAUUGGGAGGAAAUUAUUCAAGUUAUAAAUAAAUGUGUGUACAGCCAUCGCCAUCUGUGAGUGAUCUCAACCGUAUAUAGCGCAUAGGGCUGUGUUAACCAGUUGCUAAGGAAGUUUUCAUGGUGUAAAACUUGCGAUGAGGGGCCGGUGCUAGUGAAACAGCGUCCCGAACUGCUGUUAUUUCCAGUGAAUACUUACAGAUGGACGUGCCGAGUGUUGUUAUAAUCGCUGCUCACUGACCCGUUGGUCGAUAUCUACUGUGAACGGGAUUUUCUGGUGGUUAUUUCAUCAUAGCAAUAAAGAAUGUCACAUAAGUACAUCCACGCUUCGUCGACGACGGAAAAAAAUUAUUUGAAAAGCAGGAGCACCGUACAGAGCAAAUCAGGUUUUGAGGAAAUUAGAUCUUUAGGUUAAGACUUUGGUCAGUCAGCCGAGAAAACGCUUGCAAAUCUGGCGGUCACGCUAGGCGACAUAAAAAAGCUCUACCUUAAAGACAACAGCUUCUUAUAUUACCAUCCUUAACUAGCCUCUGUUAUGUUUAUAGUCCUAGGGAAAUUGCCAGCCUGGAUGUAGAACGGAUGGUGUUACUUUUUUCCAGCACGCGAUCUGAUUUUUCCCCAACAAAUUAAUACAAGCGACAGAAAUGCACCACACAACAUAAACAACAAUAGAAGCGUGCAACGAACGGCAAACAGCAAACCAUAAGUUCCCUUUAAACUAGCGAACGCCGGGCCUAAUCGGCGAUUUAUUCAUAGAAAUAAAUGGCAGAAAUACCGGGAGAUCUUACCUAGUGAGGCCAGGGAGUUCGAGGAUAGGUAAUUCGAGAAACUUGAAUUUUUCCGAGAAAGAAAUUCGCCAUCGUCUUCGAUAUAAAGGCCAUGGUUCUCGGAGUGGUACGACUGUUGAGUAAAAAAGUCGGUCAAAUUACACAUUUCCCUGAUAUCAGUUCUUAUCCAGGGGACUGUAUUCUGGUGCUUCUUGCUAUGAAUUGGGAGAAAGUUUGAGGAUUUUGGGCACGGACACAAACGGGCGAUGUUUUUGCAAGCACUUUAGUGGCCCGCUACCCGAAUGUUUUUGUAAGAAGAGAAACAAAUUAUAUCUCAAAAACAUCGAGUUCCGAUCCUUCACACGUGUAUAGUUAUUGCUCGUAUUUCGUACUCUCUGGCCCUGUUUAUAACUCCACAAGUUGGUUAACCCUUGAUCGGCUCGGUUGUUUUUGAUGCGAAGAAGUAAAAAUACGAUAUCAGUACAUAUACACAGAUAUCUAAUACAUACCCUGUCAAAACCAGAGACUGUGGAGGGCCACGUGGAAUUUUCAUCUAAAGUCCCUACAAAA